GCGAGGUAUUUUAAUGUGGGGCGGGAGGAGUAACGAGAUAACGUAAAGGCAUAGAUAAACGGCCUUCUAAGCCGUCGGUCGGGAGUUCGAAUCUCUCCUGGGACGUACCA
rnacentral:tRNA from 1 species